rnacentral:tRNA from 1 species
UUAAUUGAAGCCAAAAUAGAGGCAUAUCACUGUUAAUGGUAUUACUGAAUAAAAAUUCCAAUUAAG